CAGGAGUAGCCGCCAGUCGCCCGUGGAGUGCGCAGGCGCUUGGCGGUUACCGGU
ensembl:miRNA mdo-mir-7265 mdo-mir-7265